UACGGAGGAUGCGAGCGUUAUCCGGAUUUAUUGGGUUUAAAGGGUGCGCAGGCGGGAGAUUAAGUCGGCGGUGAAAUUUUGCAGCUCAACUGUAAAAGUGCCAUCGAUACUGGUUUUCUUGAGUGUGGAUGAAGUAGGCGGAAUUUGUGGUGUAGCGGUGAAAUGCAUAGAUAUCACGAGGAACUCCGAUUGCGCAGGCAGCUUACUAGGCCAUAACUGACGCUCAGGCACGAAGGCGUGGGGAUCAAACAGGAUUAGA
rnacentral:rRNA from 1 species